UGUGCCAUUGGCACCAGCGAGAGCUUUGUAUGUAUUAAUAAACUGGUUUAGACCUGCUUUCUGGUGUAGCUAAGCUUUUUCCAGCCCAGUGAAGCUCCCCAGCUUCUCUUUCAGGUAACUGUCAGCAACACAGCAGUAAAUAUCAACACGAAGCACAUCAUUAUUGUAGAUCACACAGGGAGAACAAAGGG